rnacentral:rRNA from 1 species
AGAUCGAACUGUAGAGUUUGAUCCUGGCUCAGAUUGAACGCUGGCGGCAUGCCUUACACAUGCAAGUCGAACGGUAACAGGUCUUCGGACGCUGACGAGUGGCGAACGGGUGAGUAAUACAUCGGAACGUGCCCAGUCGUGGGGGAUAACUACUCGAAAGAGUAGCUAAUACCGCAUACGAUCUGAGGAUGAAAGCGGGGGACCUUCGGGCCUCGCGCGAUUGGAGCGGCCGAUGGCAGAUUAGGUAGUUGGUGGGAUAAAAGCUUACCAAGCCGACGAUCUGUAGCUGGUCUGAGAGGACGACCAGCCACACUGGGACUGAGACACGGCCCAGACUCCUACGGGAGGCAGCAGUGGGGAAUAUUGGACAAUGGGCGAAAGCCUGAUCCAGCAAUGCCGCGUGCAGGAUGAAGGCCUUCGGGUUGUAAACUGCUUUUGUACGGAACGAAAAAGCUUCUCCUAAUACGAGAGGCCCAUGACGGUACCGUAAGAAUAAGCACCGGCUAACUACGUGCCAGCAGCCGCGGUAAUACGUAGGGUGCGAGCGUUAAUCGGAAUUACUGGGCGUAAAGCGUGCGCAGGCGGUUAUGUAAGACAGAUGUGAAAUCCCCGGGCUCAA